GACGAACGCUGGCGGCGUGCCUAAUACAUGCAAGUAGAACUCACAGUUUAUACCGUAGCUUGCUACACCAUAGACUGUGAGUUGCGAACGGGUGAGUAACGCGUAGGUAACCUGCCUGGUAGCGGGGGAUAACUAUUGGAAACGAUAGCUAAUACCGCAUAAUAUUAAUUAUUGCAUGAUAAUUAAUUGAAAGGUGCAAUUGCACCACUACCAGAUGGACCUGCGUUGUAUUAGCUAGUAGGUGAGGUAACGGCUCACCUAGGCGACGAUACAUAGCCGACCUGAGAGGGUGAUCGGCCACACUGGGACUGAGACACGGCCCAGACUCCUACGGGAGGCAGCAGUAGGGAAUCUUCGGCAAUGGACGAAAGUCUGACCGAGCAACGCCGCGUGAGUGAAGAAGGUUUUCGGAUCGUAAAGCUCUGUUGUAAGAGAAGAACGGGUGUGAGAGUGGAAAGUUCACACUGUGACGGUAUCUUACCAGAAAGGGACGGCUAACUACGUG
rnacentral:rRNA from 1 species